rnacentral:lncRNA from 1 species
UUGAAGAUGCAACUUGCCUUGCUCGUAAAAUUUUAUGCAUUUGGAACUUGGAGAAUCCUAUGACCAUACAUGGAGAGCCUUUUCCUUGGAUAAAGAAACCUAGCUUUGUUGGUCCUCGUUUGGAUUUUGAAGGAUCGCUCUAUGAUGACUAUGGUCUUAUUGAACCUCCAAUUAACUUUGAUUUGGAUGACCGAGUUGCUCAGAGAACUGAAGAGCUGAUGCAUGGCAUGUAUGGGAAAACAAUUUCUAUGUUGAGAAGGCAUGCUGCAGCCCUUCUGAAAACAACAAAGGUUCUUCUGGAUAAUAAGGAGAUCAGCGGAGAUCAAAUUGAGUUCAUUCUAAAUAGCUAUCCAGCUGAUACUGCAGUAAAGCUUGUUUUAGAGGAGAAAAAUCCAGGAAGCCUGCCCUUGUUUGAGGUGGAUGGGGACCGUGAUAUGGUGCUGUCCCCCUUGCUCCCCAUGAAAGAGGCAGCACAGUGACAUGGUCAUGGCAUGACUCUAGGCUGAUAUCUUCUAACUAACUACAAGUCCAUGCCAAUGUAGCAAGAUAUGUCGAGACUCUGCAUCAUCCAGUGGUUGGUGGUGGCAUGAAACAGAUGCAGCUGACUUUUCUUUCUUCGGAUUCGAUGUGAAAAAUGAAUUCUCUGCCAGUGGAGAAGAGAGAGAUCAUGAGAGCCACCAGGUUUCAUGAUUGUCAUUUUUCCAUACUGGCAACGGUGUUUUGGUUGGCUUGUUUUGAUUGCCAACAAUCUCUUCUGCUUGAGCUUAAAUCACUAAUUUCACCACAUCAGAUGAGUCUUCAUGUACUUCACUCAAUAUUUAUCGUCAUGAAAACACUCUUGGUAGCUCGACAGGAUAUUGUUUUUCGCUGAUAUUGGUACAUUAACCGGAGCUGCAUCUUCUGAGCCUCACAUUUCUGAAAAUGGAACAUGGAGAUUGAAGAACCAGAUGUUGGCAGAGGGUCAAACCUCCUGAGCUGGCGUUCUUUUUGAAAGGCUUGACAUGUUUGCUUUCUAUUACUGGAACCUCCCAAAGGUUAGAUAUUCCUGAACAUGCAUUGGCUUGUCCGAUUACUGUUUAAUAGCUUCUUACCUGUUUUGAAGCUCUAAUUUUAUUAAGCGAAUUGGACGAAACCCCUGCAUACGAUGGUCCAGUUAAGAGUUUAAACCUAUUAUCUCAAGUCUGAAGUCAUCAUGUUCUGCACUCUGUUUAUCUAAAUUCAAUCCAUUAAUUUAAAGGUGGCAACUAAUCUGCUGUCUUAUUUGCUUCCUCUCCUCCUCUCUCUCUCUCUCUCUCUCGAUGGAGACUAAAGAGAAAACUCUAGAUUCGCUCCCUUAGGGUUUUUUGCCUUGCCAACUGCGAUCGUCCUCCCUUGAUGUGGACCAUGGAUAGUCUCUCUCCCCCUCUCUCUUUUCCCCUCCCUUCCUCCCUCUCUCCCUCUCUCUCACUUCCUGUCUUUCCUUCUAGCUCUCUCCCUCCCUCUCCGACUCUCCGUGUGUUGGUACAUCCCAAAAUGGCACGGUAUGGACCUGUACCGUGCUGAACCGAUCGCCUGCCGGUACCUCUCUCCAGUAUUGGUCCGACAAACCUUGCUUGGAAGUAUUCUAAAUUGAUAUGAUUUGUUAUGUCCGUACCGUGCCGAACAGGUUGCCGACUGGUAGCCCCCUUCGGUACCAGUUCAGCAAACCUUGCUUGGAAGUUCUUGAAUUGAUAUCAUUUGCUAAAUUGCUUGUUGCUAUUGCUGUACUCUAGCAACAUUGAGUGGACCCUCUCUUAGUGAGAUGGAAUUAUGCUUCAUUAUCACACAACUUCAUAUUAGUUCAACACAAAUUCUUCACAUAUUUAAACAACAUGCAUUUGAUAAGCGUAUUUCUUAAGCCAUGACACAAGGAAUUGAUUGGACUGAUUUUUUAUUUCUGUUAGGGCUUAACUACUUUGUAGAGUUUUAUUGACAUGAAAAUUUUAAUGUAUAGUAUUGUUGGUUACCAAUUGAUAACAAGAAUUUGAAGUAUACAUAUAUGGGUCAUUGGGGCCAUGAUAUGUGAAAAGUUGUGGUUAUGAGAGAGUCAGACUUUGCGGAUGAGAGUAACUGAAGUCAACUUUUAUGUUGAUAUGUUCAGGCGCCAGGGGAUUUUCAGUGAGUCAACUGAUUACCUUUAUAAUGCUGCAACACAAGAGAGAGAGACUACGCUUAACCAGCUCUUGAUAGAGCUUGAUGGUUUUGAUACUGGAAAGGGUGUUAUAUUCUUGGGUGCUACCAAUCGUAUGGAUUUGUUAGAUCCAGCACUUCUUCGACCUGGCCGCUUUGACCGCAAGGUUUGUUUUUUGGGCUUAUUGUAUACUUAUUGCGCACUUCUUUUUCAAUUAUCAGAAGUCAAAUUGUAAUUUUAAUGCCUUUUGGAUCUAUUCUGACUUCUUGCUCAGAAGUAUUCAAUGAUGAUAAGCAAAUAUAGGUUAUGCAAACCAUACUUGUGGACCCACCAAUUUCUUCUUUAAUCUAUGUUUGAUAUCCCUGAUAUACAUCUGUUGAUUUGAACGAUAGUAAAAUACAGUCAUGUUAAUCUUAUCCAUUGAAAUUGGUUGGUCGUGGUUUUAAUGCUUUUGCAGCGACAGAAAGUAUCUGAAUCUGAUCCAUGUACAGAUAGAUCUUGUUUGACAUGUCUGUGUUCGAAUAUAAUCAAUAUUUAUAUCUUUCAUAGUCGCAGCUCUCUCCUUUUCCAGGUAAGAAUCCGCCCACCGGGAGCAAAAGGGCGAUUGGACAUCUUGAAAGUUCAUGCUCGCAAGGUCAAGAUGUCACCAACUGUUGACCUGUCAACUUAUGCUCAAAAUUUGCCUGGUAAUUGACUCCCUUCUAUAUUUUUACAGCUUCAUUAAACUCUUGUGAAAUGUUCAACUUAAAAGCCAUUAUAGAAAAAUGUUUGCUUUUCGUUCAGAUAUUCUAUUCAGCUGAUAGAAUAUUAUAUUAUGGAAAACUUAUUUAUAUAUUCUUAAGUGCUGACUGGUGUGAAAGUUCAUUUAAGCCAAAACAUACAGGAUUGGGUCUAGCCUACAUAUGCUUUAUAAUCUUCUUUGUUCACAACUUUAUUCUUAAAAUAGUUUAGCAAUUUCAUGCUAUAGAGUAUGAAAAAUUAACCGUUAAAUGAUUAUACUUUUAAGUAAGCCAUUUUUUGAAGGAAUACGGUGACAUCUUAUAACAAUGCAAAAGCACCUUUAAGUUUGAACUAAAUUCUAGAUUUCUGUAAGAUAUGAUUUACCUUUGGAAGCUUAUCCUGUAUUUUUUUUACUUCCAUUCUCUAUGCAGGUGUACUCUUUUCCCCAUAUGUUUUUGGUUCUAUAUGCAGGUUACGUAAAACAUUUGGGUCACGUAUAAUUAUUUUAAACUAGUUUAUAAGAAUAAGAUCAGAUAUGAUGUGUGUUUGUGCACAUGUCCAGAGAGUUUCAGAGGCAUUGUUAAAUUAAACCAGAGUGCAGCAGUGCAAAUUUGGCAAAUUUGAUCGUUUAAGUUAACCAUGGUAAAAUAUAAGGGCCCUACUUGAACUCAAAAAGUUGGAGUGCAGAAUUAUGCCGUUUUAUCUUUUCAGAUGCUUGUUAAUUAACUAUCAGGGUGAUAAUUGAUAAGUCUUUGGAAAGGAGUUUUUCCAUGUAAUGGUGAAAACAUAUGAGGAAAAGGACUUGGCUUGUUAUAAGAUGAAAUUCAGCUGAGCAGCUGAUUUUGAAGAACAGGAUCUGAUUUAUGCAGACAUCGGUCUGCUAUUGAUUAAAAUUUUCAACCUUUGUAGAGAAUGAUCUUCGCUUUUUUAUAUCUUAUUAAUUUCUCACUUUUGUAGUAGACCGCUUAUCAGUUUAUUGAGUUGAUUCUUGGCCAUAUUAGGUUGGACGGGAGCUCAGUUGGCACAACUGGUGCAAGAGUCUGCUUUAGUGGCUGUCAGAAAUCGACAUGAUUCAAUUCUCCAGUCUGACAUGGAUGAUGCAGUUGACCGGCUGACAGUAGGACCUAAACGUUUGGGAAUUGAAUUAGGUCAUCAAGGGCAAUGCCGGAGGGCUGUGACUGAGGUUGGAGUAGCAAUAACAUCCCAUUUGUUGAGACGAUAUGAAAAUGCAAAAGUUGAAUUCUGUGAACGUAUUUCAAUCAUUCCUCGUGGCCAGGUUCUUUUCUUUUGUGCUCUGUAGGUUUAUUUGUCUUCACAAUGACUUCUGUAUUUGAUUUGGCAAGUUUAUGAUGAAGUAUGAAACUUGAAGCCUUCAAUAAUCUUAAUUUGAGUCGAACCCUUCAAUGAUCAUAAUUUGAAUCAAACCUCUGAAAGUAUUUUAUAUACUUGCAGACGCUCUCUCAAAUUGUAUUUCUUCAUCUUGAUGAAGAGUCAUACAUGUUUGAAAGGCGGCCACAGUUACUGCAUCGUCUUCAGGUAUGGUAUUUUUUUUAUUUUUUUUNNNNNNNNNNNNNNNNNNNNNNNNNNUUCAGGUAUGGAUUAGCUGGUCCAGAACUACCAUGAAGUGGGUUUUAUAGUCAUCAUCUUCUCUUCGACUAUCUGAGUGCUGUUGUAUUCUAUGGAUACGUAAAGGUACUAUUAGGAGGAAGAGCUGCUGAAGAGGUUAUUUAUGGUCGAGACACAUCAAAAGCAUCCUUGAAGUAUCUUGAAGAUGCAACUUGCCUUGCUCGUAAAAUUUUAUGCAUGUAAUGCAUCUUAUCUGUUAAUUUCCAGACAAUUUUCCAUCCACUGUUAUAUGUAUAGAGAGCUGCUUUUCAUUCCUUUUUUAACAGUUGGAACUUGGAGAAUCCUAUGACCAUACAUGGAGAGCCUUUUCCUUGGAUAAAGAAACCUAGCUUUGUUGGUCCUCGUUUGGAUUUUGAAGGAUCGCUCUAUGAUGACUAUGGUCUUAUUGAACCUCCAAUUAACUUUGAUUUGGAUGACCGAGUUGCUCAGAGAACUGAAGAGCUGAUGCAUGGCAUGUAUGGGAAAACAAUUUCUAUGUUGAGAAGGCAUGCUGCAGCCCUUCUGAAAACAACAAAGGUAUCCUAUUUUAAAGUCUUCUUUUGAAACUAAAUUGCAUUUACUUGGUUUUCAUUGAAUGCCGCUAGUGGUUGUGUUACUUUGUCAGUCUAAGGUUUUAGAUGGUCCUUGGUAAUUAUUAUGAUUAUACAAAAUCAACAUAUUAUGUUUCAAAAUGUUAACAUGGAAGAAUAACAGAUAUUAAGGUGGAAAGCUAUUCCC